rnacentral:rRNA from 1 species
UUUCUAGAGAAGGAGUUUCUCUCGACAGAAGUGAGUGGGAGGACAGUAGAACUUGAUGAGGUAAUUCUACCUUCUCCCUUAUUGGAAAGUAGUUCAUCACAUAAAUCAGUUCCCGUGAUUCCUACACCAAUUAAUGAGGAAGGUAAUGAUGAUGACCAUGAAGCUUCAGAUCAAUUUACUACCGAACCUCAUAGGUCUUCCAGAGUAAGAUCCGCACCAGAGUGGUACGGUAAUCCUGUUCUGGAAGUCAUGUUACUAGACCAUGAUGAACCUACAAACUACAAGGAAGCGAUGAUGAGCCCAGAUUCCGUGAAAUGGCUUGAGGCCAUGAAAUUUGAGAUGGGAUCCAUGUAUGAGAACAAAGUGUGGACUUUGGUGGACUUGCCCGAUGAU